AUUGAACGCUGGCGGCAGGCCUAACACAUGCAAGUCGAGCGGCAGCACGGGGAGCUUGCUCCCUGGUGGCGAGCGGCGGACGGGUGAGUAAUGCAUAGGAAUCUGCCCGGUAGUGGGGGAUAACCUGGGGAAACCCAGGCUAAUACCGCAUACGUCCUACGGGAGAAAGCAGGGGACCUUCGGGCCUUGCGCUAUCGGAUGAGCCUAUGUCGGAUUAGCUGGUUGGUGAGGUAAUGGCUCACCAAGGCGACGAUCCGUAGCUGGUCUGAGAGGAUGAUCAGCCACAUCGGGACUGAGACACGGCCCGA
rnacentral:rRNA from 1 species